GACGAACGCUGGCGGCGUGCUUAACACAUGCAAGUCGAACGGAGUGGCGAACGGGUGAGUAACACGUGGGUGACCUGCCCUGCACUUCGGGAUAAGCCUGGGAAACUGGGUCUAAUACCAGAUAGUGUGGGAUGGGCCCGGGGCCUAUCAGCUUGUUGGUGGGGUAAUGGCUUACCAAGGCGGGGGCGGGUAGCCGGCCUGAGAGGGUGGACGGCCACAUUGGGCCUGAGACACGGCCCAGACGCCAACGGGAGGCAGCGGUGGGGAGUAUUGCACAGUGAGCGGAAGCCAGAUGCGGCGACGCCGCGUGGGGGAUGCCGUGCUUCGGGUUGUAAACUCCUUUCACCAUCGACGCGGUAGAUGGAGAGGAAGCACCGGCUAACUACGUGCCAGCCGCCGCGGUAAUUC
rnacentral:rRNA from 1 species